rnacentral:rRNA from 1 species
CAGCAGCCGCGGGAAUACGGAGGGUGCAAGCGUUAAUCGGAAUUACUGGGCGUAAAGCGCACGCAGGCGGUCUGACAAGUCAGAUGUGAAAUCCCCGGGCUUAACCUGGGAACUGCAUUUGAAACUGUCAGGCUGGAGUCUUGUAGAGGGGGGUGGAAUUCCAGGUGUAGCGGUGAAAUGCGUAGAGAUCUGGAGGAAUACCGGUGGCGAAGGCGGCCCCCUGGACAAAGACUGACGCUCAGGUGCGAAAGCGUGGGGAGCAAACAGGAUUAGAGACCCCAGUAGUCCCUGUCUCUUAUAC